UACGGGGGGGGCAAGCGUUGUUCGGAAUUACUGGGCGUAAAGGGCGCGUAGGCGGCCUUCUAAGUCAGACGUGAAAUCCCUCGGCUCAACCGGGGAACUGCGUCUGAUACUGAAAGGCUUGAAUCCGGGAGAGGAAUGCGGAAUUCCAGGUGUAGCGGUGAAAUGCGUAGAUAUCUGGAGGAACACCGGUGGCGAAGGCGGCAUUCUGGACCGGCAUUGACGCUGAGGCGCGAAAGCCAGGGGAGCAAACGGG
rnacentral:rRNA from 1 species